AGUCAAUCAGCGGCAGGUGGAGGCUGGUGUUUCAGCCCACGGGGACCUGCUGCCAGGUGCGGGGAGGCGCUGCCUACCUGACAGCCCCCAAGCCACCUCAGUCUCUCCGAUCCUCAGUCUGUCCAUCUGCAAGUGUUUUUCCAAAAACAGAAGUCCUUCAGCCAAGUCCCCUGGUGCACACUUGUAGUCCCACCUACUCAGGAGGCUGAGGCAGGAAGAUGGCCUGAGGCCAGAAGUUGGAAGCGAGAGUAUGUUAUAACUGGGCCUGUGAAUAGCUGCUGCACUCAAGCCUGGGCAACAUAGCCAGAACCUGUCUCUUAAAAAGAAAAUAAGGCUAGAGUGCAAUGACGUGAUCUCGGCUCACUGCAACCUCCACCUCCUAGGUUCAAGGGAUUCUCCUGCCUCAGCCUCUCAUGUAGCUAGGAUUACAGGCACCCACUACCACCCCUGGCUAAUUAUUUGUAUUUUUAGUGAAGACGGGGUUCUACCAUGUUGGCCAGGCUGGUCUCGAAUUCCUGAUCUCAGGUGAUCCACCCAUCUUGGUCUCCCAAAGUGCUGGGAUUACAGGCAUCAGCCACUGCACCUGGGCUUGUUUUUUUGAAACAGGAUUCUUGCUAUGUUGCCCAGGCUAGAGUACAGUGGUGCUAUCACAGCUCACUGCAGCCUCAACCUCCCGGGCUCAAAUGAUCCUCCCAUUUCAGCCUCUUGAAUAGCUGGGACCACAGGCAUGCGCCACCAUGCCUGGCUAAAUUUUUCAUUAUUUAUAGAGACGAGGUCUCGCUAUAUUGCUCAAGCUGUUCUCAAACUCCUGGGCCCAAGCAGUCCUCCUGCCUCAGCCUCCCAAAAUGUUGUGAUUACAGGCAUGAGCCACUGUGUGAGGUGACUACAAAUUUAUUGUCUUUAAUACAGGGAUUUUCAGGUUUAAAUUUCUUAUUGGUAGUUGUGUCAUCAAGAAAUUUGCCUAUUUAAUUUAUAUGGGCAUAAAGUUGUUCAUAAAAUCCCUGUAUUAUUCUUUUACUAUCUAUAAAAUUUGUAGUGAUGUCACCUUUCAUUCCUGAUAUUGGUCAUUUGUAUAUCCUUUCUCUCUCUCUCUCUCUCUCUCUCUGUCUCUUUCUCUCUGUUAAUCUGGCUAAAGUUUAAUCAACUUCAUUGAUCUCAAAAAAGAUCUCCACUGAUUUUCUGUGUUCUAUUUCCUUGAUUUCUACUCCAAUCUUUAUUAUUUUUCUUCCUUCUAUUUACUUUGAGUUUCAUUUGCUUGUUUUCCUCUAAAAUUUUUUUGUGUGUGUGUGACAGAGUUUUGCUCUUUUGCCCAGACUGGAGUGAAGUGGCCCGAUCUUGGCUCAGGGCAACCUCCAUCCCCACAGCCCCCUCCCCGGGUUUAAGUGAUUCUUCUGCCUCAGCCUCCCAAGUAGCUGGGAUUAUAAGCACCUGCCACCAUGCCCAGCUAAUUUUUGUAUUUUUAGUAGAGACAGGGUCGGCUAGGUAUGGUGGCUCACGCCUAUAAUCCAAGCACUUUGGAGGCCAAGGCAGGCAGAUCACCUGAGGUUGGGAGUUCAAGACCAGCCUGACCAACAUGGUGAAACCCCGUCUUAUAAAAUAAAUAAAUAAAUAAAAAGAGACAAGUUUUUGCCAUGUUGGCCAGGCUGGUCUUGAACUCAGGUGAUCUACCCACCUCAGCCUCCCAAAUUUCCCCUAAUUUUUAAAGGUAAUAGCUGAGGUCAUUGAUUUAAAACUUUUUCUUCUUUCUAAAAUAGAUGACUACGGCUAUAAAUUUAUCUGUAAAGUACUACUUUAGCUGUAUCCCACAAGUUUUGAUAUAUUGGAUUUGCAUUUUAAUUCAGUUAAAAAUGCCUUUUAAUUCCCCUUUUGCUUUCUCUGUGACUCAUGGGUUAUUUAGAAUUAUACGAUCUAAUUUUCAAAUAUUCAGGGAUUUUCCCAAUUACUUUCUGUUACCAAUUUCCAAUUUCAAUGCAUAUAGCCAGAGAACAAGAUUUAUAUGAAUUGAAUGUCUUCAGGUUUUUGAGACUUGUUUUAUGGCCCAGAAAAUGAUCGAUCUUGGUAAAUGUUCUGUAUUUUGUUUGUUGUUUGGUUGGUUGGUUUUUGGUUUUUGUUUUAAUUUCCAAGACAGAGUCUCUCUCUCUAUCAGUUAGGCUGAAGUUCAGUGGUGCAAUCUCGGCUCACUGAAACCUCUGCCUCAUAGGUUCAAGUGAUUCUCCCACCUCAGCCUCUGGAGAAACUGGGAUUACAGGCAUGCUUCACCAUGCCCACCUAAUUUUGUAUUUUUAGUAGAGACAUUUCACCAUGUUGGCCAGGCUGGUCUCGAACCCCUGACCUCAAGUGAUCCACCCACCUCAGCCUCCCAGAGUGCUGGGAUUAUAGGUGUGAACCACCAUGCCCAACUGUUCUGUGUGCAUUUGUGAAGUGUGUCUUCUCUGCUGUCAUUGGAUGGAAUGCUCUAUAAAUGUCAAUUAGGUCAAGGUGAUUAAUAGUGAUGUUCAGGUAUCCCAUAUCCCUACUGAGUUUCUUUGUACUUGUUCUAUCGUUUAUUGAGAAAGCACAUUUCUGAAUAUAAUUGCAAGUAGUCUAUUUCUCCUUGCAGUUCUAUCAGUUUUGCUUCCUUUUAUUUGGAAGCUCUGUUAUUAAGUACAUGAAUAUUUAGGAUUGUUAUGUCUUCUUGAUCAAAUCACUUCUUUAUCAUUAUGGCAAUGACCUUUAUCCUUCUAAUAAUUUUUGCUCUGAAUAUUUUGUCUAAUACAGCGUUAGCAUGGUAUUUCUUUUCGCCUAUUCUUUUAAUUUUAACCUCUUUGUGUCUUUAUAUUUAAAAUGGGUUUCUUAACAAUCAACAGAAUAAUGAGACAACCAACAGAAUGGAACAAAAAUAUUUGCUAACCAUAUAUCUAACAAGGGGCUAAUAUCCUAAAUAUAUGAGGAACUCAAACAAAUAAAUAAUAAGGAAACAAAGAAACCUGUUAAAACAUAGGCAAAGAACCUAAAUAGAUAUUUCUCAAAAGAAGAUAUGCAAAUGGACAAGAAGUAUAUGAAAAAAACCUCAAUAUCACUAAUCAUCAGGAAAAUGCAAAUUAAAACCACAUUGAGAUAUCCUCUCACACCUGUUAAAAUUGCUAUUGUAAAAAAAAAAAAAGACAAAAGGAUGUGGAGAAAAGAGAACACAUGCACACUGUUAGUAGAAAUCUAAAUUAGUACAACCAUUAUGGAAAACAGUAUGGUGGCUCCUCAAAAAAAUCAAAAUAAAACUACUCCACGAUCCAGCAAUCCUACUACUGGGUAUAUAUUUAAAGGAAAAAUCAGUACAUUGAAGCGAUACUGCACACCCUUGUUCAUUGCAGCACUAUUCACAAUAGCCAAGAUAUAAAAUGCACCUAAGUGUCUAUCAAUGGGUAAGUGGAUUAAGAAAAUUUUGUCUUUUUAUUCAGCCUUAAAAAAGAAGGAAGUCCCAUCAUUUGCAACAACACAGAUAAACCUGGAGAACAUUAUGUUCAGUGAAAUAAGCCAAACACAAAAAGACAAAUGCUGUAUGAUCUCACUAAUAUGUGAAAUCUAAUAAAGUCAGCCUCAUAAAAGUAAAGAGUAAAAUUGUGGUUAUCCAAGGCUGUGGGUAAGGGGAUUGGGGAGAUGUUGGUCAAAGGAUAUAAAAUGGCAGUUAGGCAGGGAGAAUUGUUCCAGAAAUCUAUUCUAUAUCAUGGUGACAAUAGUUAAUAACAAUGUAUUAUAUACAGGCAUACCUUCAAGAUAUUGCAAAUAUCAUGGCAAAGUAAGUUACACAAACUUUUUGGUUUCCCAGUGUACAUAAAAAUUAUGCUUAUACUAGAAUGUAGUCUAUUAAGUUUGCAAUAGCAUUAUGUCUAAAAAAGGUACAUACCGUAGUUUGAAAAUGCUUCACGCCUAAAAAAUGCUAACCAUCAUCUGAGCCUGCAGCAAGUCAUCAUCUUUUUGCUGGUUCAGAGUUAUGCUUCAGUGUUGAUGGCUGCCGCCUGAUCAGGAUGGUGGUUGCUGAAGGCCAGUGUGGCUGUGGCAAUUUCUUAAAAUAAGACAACAGUGAAGUUUACUACAUCCAUCAACUCUUCCUUUCGUGAAAGAUUUCCCUGUAGUGUGCAAUGCUGUUUGAUAGCAUAUUACCUACAGUAGAACUUGUUUCAAAAUUGAGUCAGUCCUCUCAAAUCUUUCAAAAUUGAGUCCGUCCUCUCAAAUCCUGCUGCUACUUUGUUAAUUAAGCUUACAGAAUAUUCUAAAUCCUUUGCUGUCAUUUCUACAAAGCUUAUAGGCAUCUUUAUCAGGAGUAGAUUCCAUCACAAGAAACCACUUGCUUUACUCAACCAUAAAAAGUAACUUCUCAUCAGUUUAGGUUUUUAUCAAGAGACUAUAACAAUUCAGUCACAUCUUCAGGCUCUAGUUAUUCUAGUUCUAGUACCACAUUUCCAGUUACUUCCACUGAGGUUGUGAGCCCCUCAAAGUCAUCCAUGAGGGCUGGAAUAAACUUCUUCCCACUCCUGUUGAUGUUGAUAUUUUGACCUUCUCCAGUGAAUUGCAGAUGUUGUUAAUGGCUUUUCAAAUGGUGAAUCCUCUCCAGAAGGCUUUCCAUUUCCUUUCUCAGAUCCAGAUCUAUCAGAGGUAUCAUUACAUAUGGCUUCCAUAGUCUUACAAAAUGUACUUCUUAAAUGAUGUGACUUGAAAAUUGAAAUUACUCUUUGAUCUACAGACUACAGAAUGGAUGUUAUGUUAGUGGGCAUGUAAACAACAUUAAUUUCUUUACACAUCUCCAUCAGAGCUCUUGGGUGAACAGGUAUUUUGUCAACAAGCAGUAAUAUAUUGAAAGGAUUUUUUUUUGAGCAGUAGAUCUCAACAGUGAGCUUAAAAUAUUUAAUCAACCAUGCUGUCAAUAGAUGUGCUGUUAUCCAGGUUUUGUUGUUCCAUGUAUAGAGCACAGGCAGAGUAGAUUUAGCAUCAUUCUUAAGGGGCCUAGGAUUUUCAGAAUAGUCAGGGAGAAUUGGCUUCAACUUAGAGUCACCAGCUGCAUUACCUUCUAACACGAGAGUCAGUCUGUCCUUUGAAACUUUGAAGCCAGGCAUUGACUUCUUCUCUCUAGCUAUGAAACACCUAGCUAAGAUGGUAUCUUCUUCCAAUAGAAGGCUUUUUCUCUAUACUGAAAAUCUGUUGCUUAGAGUGGCCACUUUCAUCAAUUAAUGAUCUGAACUAGAUCUUCUGGAUAACUUACUACAGCUUCUCCGUUGGCACUUGCUCCUUCACCUUGUACUGUCAUGUUCUGGAGAUGGCUUCUUGGCUUCUUUCUAUAAACCUCAUGAACCAACCUCUGUUGGCUUCCAACUUUUCUUCUGCAGCUUCCUCACCUCCUUCAGCCUUCACUGAAUUGAAGAAAGUUAUUGCCUUGCUCUAGAUUGGGUUUUGGUUUAAGGGAACGUUGUGGCUGGUUUGAUCUUUCAUUCAGACCAUUGAUACUUUCUCCAGAUCAGUGAUAAGGCUGUUUUGCUUUCUGAUUAUUCAUGUGUUCACUGGAGUAGCACUUUAAAAUUCCUUUAAGGACUUCUCCUUGACCAGGUGCAGUGGCUCAUACUGUAAUCCCAGGACUAGGGAGACCAAGGCAAGAAGAUCACUUGAGGCCAGGAGUUCAAGACCAGCCUGGGCCAGCCUGGGCAACAUAAUAAGAGUCUCUCUCUACAAAAAAAAACUUUAAAAAUUAGCUAGGCACAGUGGCAUGGGUCACGUAAUUCCAGGUACUUGGAAGGCUGAGACCGGAGGAUCACUUGAGCCCAGAAGUUUGAGGUUACAAUGAACUAUGAUUGUGUCUUGUCCUUUAGCCUGGGAGACAUACCUUUCAGCCUAUCUCAGUUUUGGACAUGUUUUCCUCACUAAGCUCAAUCAUCUCCAGCUUUUGAUUUAAAGUGAGAGACAUGUAACUAUUCCUUUUAUUUGAACACUUAGAGACCACUAUAGAAUUUUAUCUAUUUUGUUUAUUUUUUUGAGAUAGAGUCUCACUCUAUCACCUGGGCUCCAGUGCAGUGGCGCAAUCUCAGCUGACUACAACCUCCACCUCCCAGGUUCAUGUGAUUCUCCUGCCUCAGCCUCCCGAGUAGCUGGGAUUACAGGCACAUGCCACCAUGCCCAGCUAUUUUUGUAUUUUUCAGUAGAGAUGGGGUUUCACCGUGUUGGCCAAGCUGGUCUCAAACUCCUGACCGCAGGUGAUCCCCGCAACCUCGGCCUCCCAAAGUGCUGGGAUUACAGGCAUGAGGCACUGCACCCAGCCACACUAUAGGAUUAUUAAUUGGCCUAAUUUUAAUAUUGUGUCUUGUGGAAUACAUAGGCCCAAGGAGAAGAAGAAAAACAGAGAACAGCUAGUUGAUGGGGUAGUCAGAGCACACACAUUUAAGAUUGCCACUUUGUAUGGGCAUGGUUCAUGGUACCUCAAAAGAAUUACAAUUGUCACAUCAAAGAUCACUAACCACAGCUAUAUUAUAACAGAUGUUAUAACAAUUUAAAAGUUUGAAAUAUAGCAAGAAUUACCAAAAUGUGACACAGAAACAUAAAGUGAGCACAUGCAAUUGGAAGAAAGGCACCCAUAGGCUUGCUUGGUAUAAGGUUGCCACAAAACGUCAAUUUGAAAAAAACCUCAAGAUCUGCAAAGUGCAAUUUUAAAAAGCACAAUAGGCCAGGCGUGGUGGCUCACUCACACCUGUAAUCCCAACACUUUGAGAGGUGAAGGCAGCCAGAUCACUUGAGGUCAGGAGUUCGAGACAGCCUGGCCAACAUGGCAAAAAACCCUUUCUCCUAACACUACAGAAAUUAGCUAGACAUGAUAGUGGGUGCCUGUACUCCCAGUUACUUGGCUACGGCAGGAGAAUUGCUUGAACCCAGGAGGUGGAGGUUGUAGUACACUGAGAUUGCACCACUGCACUGCAGCCUGGGUGACAGAGCAAGACGGUCUCAAAAACAACCCAAAAAACAAAAAAUAACAAUAAAAUAAGAUAUACCUGAACUUAAAAAUUGCUAAGAGAAUAGAUUUUAAGUGUUCUCACCAAAAAAAGCAUUCACAUGCAUCUAUUAAUUAAUGCAUCUAUUAAUUCAUUUGAUUUAGUCAUUUCACAAUGUAUACAUAUUUCCAAAUAUCUUGUACACCAUAAAUAUAUAUAAUUUUCAUUUGUCAAUUUAAAAAAUGCUCCCCCCUUCCACAAAAAGGUGGUUUCUUUAAGUCAACAUAUUAUUGGGUCUUACUUUGAUUUUCAAUCUGACAAUCUUUGUUUUGUCAAUUGGGUUAGACAAGUUAUAAUUUAUGUGAUUAUGAAUAUCGGGGUUAAAUCUAACAUUGCACUACUUUGUUUCCUAAUUGUUCUCAUCUGUUCUUUGUUUCCUCUCUUCUCUCUUUCUGCUUUAAUUAAUUGGUAUAUACUGUAUGAUUGUUUUAUAUACAUUGUUGGUGUUUCAGCUAUAUUAUUUGUUGUGUUAUUUUACCUCUACAACAAUUUAAGUAUCUGCCUUAACUUGGGUACUAAACUACACUGUAAGUUCUUUUGAGGCAGAAUAGGGUCUGGAGGCAGGGAAUCUAAGAUGGAUUUGCAGUGACUUCCUAGAACUGAAUCAAAAGGGAAAGUCCCACCUCUCCACACCCAAGUAACAAAAGGAUCAGAGGCUACUCCAUUUGCACAACCCCCUUUUCUGCAUUGCAGAUGAAAAAUGAAAGUACCGGUGAUUGGACCCCUCCUACAACCAAUCAGCAAUCAGACUGGUGGCAGGCCAAGUCUUCAUGUGUAACUUUGUAACUUCACCUCAGCCUCUGAUUGGCCACCUUCUGCAACCAAUCAGACUGAUUGUAGGCCAGUAUUUCAUUUACAUAGGGUGUAAACCAAGUAACCAAUGGGAAACCUCUGGAGGGUAUUUAAACCCUGGAAAUGUCUGUAACCAGCACUCUUGAGCUGCUUGCUCAAGCCUGUCUCAGUAUGUGGAGUGUACUUUCAUUUCAAUAAAUCUGUACUUUCCUUGCUUCAUUUUUUC